GUACACUCCUGCGGGAGGCAGCAGUGGGGAAUUUUGGACAAUGGGGGCAACCCUGAUCCAGCAAUGCCGCGUGAGUGAAGAAGGCCUUCGGGUUGUAAAGCUCUUUUGUCAGGGAAGAAACGGUAGUAGCGAAUAACUAUUACUAAUGACGGUACCUGAAGAAUAAGCACCGGCUAACUACGUGCCAGCAGCCGCGGUAAUACGUAGGGUGCAAGCGUUAAUCGGAAUUACUGGGCGUAAAGCGUGCGCAGGCGGUUGUGUAAGUCAGAUGUGAAAUCCCCGGGCUCAACCUGGGAAUUGCAUUUGAGACUGCACGGCUAGAGUGUGUCAGAGGGGGGUAGAAUUCCACGUGUAGCAGUGAAAUGCGUAGAUAUGUGGAGGAAUACCGAUGGCGAAGGCAGCCCCCUGGGAUAACACUGACGCUCAUGCACGAAAGCGUGGGGAGCAAACAGGAUUAGAAACCCCUGUAGUCCCAUG
rnacentral:rRNA from 1 species